UAGAUUUCUGAGUUUGAGGCCAAC
rnacentral:piRNA from 1 species